rnacentral:tRNA from 1 species
GGGAACAUUGCUCAGUUGGUAGAGCAAUUGACUGUUAAUCAAUGGGUCACAUGUUCGAGUCCUGUUAUUCCCGCCA